rnacentral:rRNA from 1 species
UACGGGGGGGGCAAGCGUUGUUCGGAAUUACUGGGCGUAAAGGGCUCGUAGGCGGCCAUCUAAGUCAGACGUGAAAUCCCCCGGCUUAACCUGGGAACUGCGUCUGAUACUGGACGGCUUGAGUACGGGAGAGGGAUGUGGAAUUCCAGGUGUAGCGGUGAAAUGCGUAGAUAUCUGGAGGAACACCGGUGGCGAAGGCGGCAUCCUGGACCGACACUGACGCUGAGGCGCGAAAGCUAGGGUAGCAAACGGG